GAAUUAGUAGUGAAGUGGUAAAACCCAUUGUUGCCAUCGAUGGUCGCCGCGUUCGAUUCGGGGCUGACGCA